rnacentral:tRNA from 1 species
UCCCUGGUAGUCUAGUGGUUAGGACUCUGUGCUUUCACCCCUGCAGACCAGGGUUCAAUCCCUGGUCUAGGAA